AUUGUUGGGACGGGAGGAUCCAAUUGUUUUCCUAAGAGUUAUAGUGGAUCUAAGAGGGGUGGAAGAUGUAAAAUAGCUUAUGAACUCUUCUCCUCCCAUAUGGCUUAUUGGAUAGACUUGAAACUUUGUACAAUGCUUAAUUGUCAUUUGUAGAUGUGCAUAUUGUCGGAAUGGGAGGAUCCAAAGUUUUUCCUAAAAGAUAUAGUGGAUCUAAAAGGGGUGGAGGAUGUUAAAAUACCUUGUGAACACUUCUCCUAUAUGGCUUAUCUGAUAGACUUGAGAAUUUGUACAAUGCUUCAAUGCCAUUUGUAGAUGUGCAAGUUGUAGGGACAGGAGGAUCCAAUUGCUAUCCUUAAAGUUAAAGUGGAUCUGAGGGGUGUAGGGUAUAAAAUAGUGUGUGAACGCUUCUCCUCCUAUAUGGCUUAUCAGAGUUCAUGUCUAUCUUCCUGCCCAUGCUUUCUCCUCCAUACUAUUCAAUACAUUAAGGGGGAUGUUUCCUAUAUUUUACGAAUUAAUUGGUUGAUUGACAACAAACUUGGUACAGUUGUACAGCAUAUAUAAGGAGUAGAUGACCCCUAUUGAUUCUUAGGUCACAUGGUCAGUCCACUCUUGACAUAGGAAGGUAUUGUCUGCUCAAUAUUUUGAAUUGGUGUAACUACUAUCAAUUAAAUGAGGCACGGGUAUAACCCUUUCAAUUUUGCAACUUGGGGGGCAUAUGUGUUUUAGAAACAUCUCUUGUGUUGAAUUAUAUGAAUUACAGUUUUUAGUGUGCUCAGUUUAGAGAAUAGCAUAAAAGUAUUUGAUAAUUAAAUAUCUUGCAGAUUGGCAGUUUACUCCAUGCACCGACAGGAAUGAUAAACUGUGAUAUUCGUAAAUGGAACUGGGACACGUUCUAAAUAUACUCAGGGACAGAAUGAUGUGCAGCAAGGCUCGUCAUGGAUUUUACCAAAUACAGAACACUGCAAGGCUUGCAAAAUGAAGACCUCAGUAAAAAAAAUUCUAAAUUAUCCACUAAUGGCAGCUCACUACCUGCCCCUUGUGAUGUUAAAAGAGGCCGUUGUUCUCAUUUGUUCCAAAACAGGAAUGGCAUAUGAGGAGGCCAACAGAAGAUGCACCUCCACUGACCUCCACGGAGUGUGCACUCACAAAACGAAUAAAUUAUUAUUUCUUUUGUUUGUAAUUGUAUAUUGUCAACAAGGUCAAAGGCACUUGAUCCGAUGCCAAACUUUUGCAUUUCUUUUGCUUUGUGGUAAAUUUUCUUCAGCAACAUUAACAUUGUUUAAAUUGUUUUCUUUGGAGAGUUUACAUGUACACAUGGAUCAUUUGUAUAUUAGAAUUAUAACAUUGUUUAAUUCA